rnacentral:rRNA from 1 species
GAUGAACGCUGGCGGCGUGCUUAACACAUGCAAGUCGAACGGUGAAGGCGGAGCUUGCUCUGCUGGAUCAGUUGCGAACGGGUGAGUAACACGUGAGCAAUCUGCCCCUGACUCUGGGAUAAGCGCUGGAAACGGCGUCUAAUACUGGAUACGAGCUGCGAAGGCAUCUUCAGCAGCUGGAAAGAACUUCGGUCAGGGAUGAGCUCGCGGCCUAUCAGCUUGUUGGUGAGGUAACGGCUCACCAAGGCGUCGACGGGUAGCCGGCCUGAGAGGGUGACCGGCCACACUGGGACUGAGACACGGCCCAGACUCCUACGGGAGGCAGCAGUGGGGAAUAUUGCACAAUGGGCGAAAGCCUGAUGCAGCAACGCCGCGUGAGGGACGACGGCCUUCGGGUUGUAAACCUCUUUUAGCAGGGAAGAAGCGAAAGUGACGGUACCUGCAGAAAAAGCGCCGGCUAACUACGUG